rnacentral:rRNA from 1 species
GAGAGAGACAUGCGCGCAUAUCAAUAAGCGGAGGAAAAGAAACUAACAAGGAUUCCCUUAGUAACGGCGAGUGAAGCGGGAAGAGCUCAAAUUUGAAAUCUUCAAGGUUUUACCUUGACGAAUUGUAGUUUAAAGAAGUGUUUUCUGCUGAAGUUUUGGUAAAAGUUCUUUGGAAUAGGACAUCAUAGAGGGUGAGAAUCCCGUAUUUGACCAUUAUUUUCAGCUUUGUGAUACACUUUCAAAGAGUCGGAUUGUUGGGAAUGCAGUCCAAAAUGGGUGGUAAAUUUCAUCUAAAGCUAAAUAUUGGCGAGAGACCGAUAGCGAACAAGUACCGUGAGGGAAAGAUGAAAAGAACUUUGAAAAGAGAGUUAAACAGUACGUGAAAUUGUCAAAAGGGAAGCGUUUGACACCAGUGUUGUUUUCUCGAAAAUCAAUUAAAAAUGGCUCGAUUUUGUAUUGCUGAGACCUUAAAAGCUCACUGUACAUUUUUCGUGUCUUUUUUAAUGCACUUUUCGUUUAACAAGUCAACAUCAGUUUCUUUUGUUGUAAAAGGGUCAUUGGAAGGUGGCUUUCUUUUCGGAGAAAGUGUUUAUAGCCUUUGGCCUCUGCAAUCGGAGAGACUGAGGUCUGCAGCGUAGACUCUUCGGGGUUAGAUACAUUUGUGCUAAGUUAUAGCUUUUUAUAGACAACUUGUUGACUAUAAUUAGUCUUGUAGCUUACUCGCUUAUGCUAUUUUACCUACGCUUAGGAUGUUGAAGAUGUAGCACAUCAU